rnacentral:rRNA from 1 species
UACGAAGGGGGCUAGCGUUGCUCGGAAUUACUGGGCGUAAAGCGCACGUAGGCGGCUUUCUAAGUCGGGGGUGAAAUCCUGGAGCUCAACUCCAGAACUGCCUUCGAUACUGGAAAGCUCGAGUCCGGGAGAGGUGAGUGGAACUGCGAGUGUAGAGGUGAAAUGCGUAGAUAUCGGAAGGAACACCAGUGGCGAAAGCGGCUUCCUGGUCCAGCACCGACGUUCAGGCACGAAAGCGUGGGGAGCAAACAGG